rnacentral:piRNA from 1 species
UGUACAGGCAGAAGUCUACUGCAGGGGCA